CCUACGGGAGGCAGCAGUGGGGAAUAUUGCACAAUGGGGGAAACCCUGAUGCAGCAACGCCGCGUGGGUGAAGGAGCGUUUCGGCGCGUAAAGCUCUAUCAGCAGGGAAGAAAAUGACGGUACCUGACUAAGAAGCCCCGGCUAACUACGUGCCAGCAGCCGCGGUAAUACGUAGGGGGCAAGCGUUAUCCGGAUUUACUGGGUGUAAAGGGAGCGUAGACGGCUUGGCAAGCCAGAUGUGAAAGGCUGGGGCUCAACCUCAGGACUGCAUUUGGAACUGUCAUGCUAGAGUGUCGGAGAGGCAGGUGGAAGUCCUAGUGUAGCGGUGAAAUGCGUAGAUAGUAGGAGGAACACCAGUGGCGAAGGCGGCCUGCUGGACGAUGACUGACGUUGAGGCUCGAAAGCGUGGGGAGCAAACAGGAUUAGAUACCCGAGUAGUC
rnacentral:rRNA from 1 species